rnacentral:misc_RNA from 1 species
CUUUUACUCAAAUUCGCAUUCAAGAUAAGUAUAUAUAUUCAUUAAGAGAUAAGUAGAAUAAUAUAUAUACUUUCAGCAAUCUUGAGAGAGAGUGAUAUGGGAGACGCAGUGUUAGUGAGCAUGAGCCCUGAAAUUUGGAGGCACAAGGCAGAUAUUCCAGCAAUCUCUGCUCCUCCAUCUCAACUCCAUUGCCCUUCAAUAACAAGAUCACCACUAUUGGAUAUAGCUCCAAAAACCCCCAAAAGCCCAUUAGCUUCAAGUCUAAUGACUCCCAUAGCCAGCCCCAUGAAGAAGGCAAUUGCUAAUGUGCAAUGUUACUUGGAAGAAGUUGGCCACUUCACCAAGCUUGAUCCCCAAGAAGCAUGGCUUCCUAUAACAGAGUCUAGGAGAGGUAACGCGUACUACGCAGCA